rnacentral:other from 1 species
UUCCCUGGGGUGUUUGUCAGUAGGUGACGUCCCUGAGCCGAUAUUAACAGCAAAGGAAAGCCGUGUUGUUUACUAUUGUGCAUGCUCGGCCCGACCGAGAAGCCUGCGGUAGAUACCGGAGUUCCGCCUUGAACCUUCGGUUCAAGGACUCACACCCGCAACGGCACCUUGGGGAU